UGAAACUAAAGAUAAGGUGAGGUUUAGGGUGGCUUUGACACCACUCCAGGAUGGUGCAGCAUCAGCUACUUUCAGAUGGCUUAGGCUGAGGGUAUGGAAUGGGGCUGCUCAGUCAGCAGGGCCCUCAGGGCAAACAAAAUUCCACUGGUAAGUCUCAAGGGGGAAAAAAAAAAGACACAGAUUAAGUCUUGGGAUUUACUGUAGCCAAAGUAAAGUUCCGACUCCUAGAAUUUUUUCUGAAAUUGAAUUUUAUCACUCUGCAAGAUGAUUCAAUAGAAGAUAAUAAAUACAAAACAAAUAAAAGAUUUUUAAAUUGGGCAACCCUAAGGCACUGGCAAAACCUUCACCAAUCUUCUUCGUUUAUUUUUCAGACCUGUGUUUGCUCAGGGAUCUGCAACAAGUUUUUGCAAUAUAGAGAAAGAAAGAGACCUAAGAUCAGUAGGUCAAGUCACAGAAAAUUGCUUUUUACCAAGCCACAUUUAGUGCAUUUAUCUGGAAACGCAUCACAGCUGCAUAAAUGCUAAAGGCACUGCAAGAAGCCUCAGUAUUCAUUUCCCAACUGCACUUGCAGCAGUCCCUACGCACCACAGUUCACAACAUUCACUAAGUCACUGCAAUACAUUAAUUUCUGGUGCUCUUUUCUUAGUUCCUCCAACAAGCUGCAAGCCCUAAAUAUUAAUUAACACUGAGAUACUCAAAUGUUUUCAGCUACAGAAUCCUGAGCUUCCUGGACAGCAGUGCCCGUUUGCCUUUUCUAUCAUUACUUUUCCAGAAUGCUCCAUCAAUUCCAUCAGGAAUCCAAAUGCACUUUCUGACCUGAAGGACUGACUUGGAAUGUAUUUCAAAAGAGAGGAAAAAUAUUUGGUCACUGAAAAAAAAUGUGUACUUAACCUAACUGUUGGCAAAAAUGUGGAUCUCUACAAAGCUACUCCUCUGAACUCCAAGACAGAACAGACAUUCCAGGAGGCACACCAGGACCAGGGCAUCUAUCAAGUGUGUGAUGAAUUUAACUGGGCUAAGAUUGACACACAAAAAGGACACGUCUCACACUCCGAUACAGCAUCAAAAUCAGAACAGUAGUCAUGUCUAUGGAUGACUCACAGCCAGCUGGGUUCAUUCAAGUGAAAGAGGAACAUGAUAGCUGUAACCUCUGAGAAAGGAAAUUAGAAAUAAACAUGAAUAGGAUG